rnacentral:tRNA from 1 species
GCCACGGUGGUCUAGCGGUUAGAAUGCUAGCCUUGUAAUCCUGGGGUCUCGGGUUCGAUUCCCGGCGGUGCCC